CGGGACGGGUGAGUGAUGUCUGGGAAACUGCCCGAUGGAGGGGGAUAACUACUGGAAACGGUAGCUAAUACCGCAUAACGUCGCAAGACCAAAGAGGGGGACCUUCGGGCCUCUUGCCAUCGGAUGUGCCCAGACGGGAUUAGCUAGUAGGUGGGGUAAUGGCUCACCUAGGCGACGAUCCCUAGCUGGUCUGAGAGGAUGACCAGCCACACUGGAACUGAGACACGGUCCAG
rnacentral:rRNA from 1 species